GGGUUGUGAGGUUAAGCGACUAAGCGUACACGGUGGAUGCCCUGGCAGUCAGAGGCGAUGAAGGACGUGCUAAUCUGCGAAAAGCGCCGGCGAGGUGAUAUGAACCCUUGACCCGGCGAUGUCCGAAUGGGGAAACCCAGUGCAAUCCGUUGCACUAUCGUUAGCUGAAUACAUAGGCUAACGAGGCGAACCGGGGGAACUGAAACAUCUAAGUACCCCGAGGAAAAGAAAUCAACCGAGAUUCCCCCAGUAGCGGCGAGCGAACGGGGAGCAGCCCGGAGUCUGAAUCAGCUUGUGUGUUAGUGGAAGCGUCUGGAAAGUCGCAGGGUACAGGGUGAUACUCCCGUACACGAAAGCACACAUGCUGUGAACUCGAAGAGUAGGGCGGGACACGUGGUAUCCUGUCUGAAUAUGGGGGGACCAUCCUCCAAGGCUAAAUACUCCUGACUGACCGAUAGUGAACCAGUACCGUGAGGGAAAGGCGAAAAGAACCCCGGCGAGGGGAGUGAAAAAGAACCUGAAACCGUGUACGUACAAGCAGUGGGAGCAUCCUUCGGGGUGUGACUGCGUACCUUUUGUAUAAUGGGUCAGCGACUUAUAUUCUGUAGCAAGGUUAACCGUAUAGGGGAGCCGGAGGGAAACCGAGUCUUAACUGGGCGUUAAGUUGCAGGGUAUAGACCCGAAACCCGGUGAUCUAGCCAUGGGCAGGUUGAAGGUUGGGUAACACUAACUGGAGGACCGAACCGACUAAUGUUGAAAAAUUAGCGGAUGACCUGUGGCUGGGGGUGAAAGGCCAAUCAAACCGGGAGAUAGCUGGUUCUCCCCGAAAGCUAUUUAGGUAGCGCCUCGUGAAUUCAUCCUCGGGGGUAGAGCACUGUUUCGGCUAGGGGGCCAUCCCGGCUUACCAACCCGAUGCAAACUGCGAAUACCGAGGAAUGUUAUCACGGGAGACACACGGCGGGUGCUAACGUCCGUCGUGAAGAGGGAAACAACCCAGACCGCCAGCUAAGGUCCCAAAGUCAUGGUUAAGUGGGAAACGAUGUGGGAAGGCACAGACAGCCAGGAUGUUGGCUUAGAAGCAGCCAUCAUUUAAAGAAAGCGUAAUAGCUCACUGGUCGAGUCGGCCUGCGCGGAAGAUGUAACGGGGCUAAACCAUGCACCGAAGCUGCGGCAGCGACACUAUGUGUUGUUGGGUAGGGGAGCGUUCUGUAAGCCUGCGAAGGUGUGCUGUGAGGCAUGCUGGAGGUAUCAGAAGUGCGAAUGCUGACAUAAGUAACGAUAAAGCGGGUGAAAAGCCCGCUCGCCGGAAGACCAAGGGUUCCUGUCCAACGUUAAUCGGGGCAGGGUGAGUCGACCCCUAAGGCGAGGCCGAAAGGCGUAGUCGAUGGGAAACAGGUUAAUAUUCCUGUACUCGGUGUUACUGCGAAGGGGGGACGGAGAAGGCUAUGUUGGCCGGGCGACGGUUGUCCCGGUUUAAGCAUGUAGGCGGAGGUUCCAGGUAAAUCCGGUACCUUUUAACGCUGAGGUGUGAUGACGAGGCACUACGGUGCUGAAGCAACAAAUGCCCUGCUUCCAGGAAAAGCCUCUAAGCAUCAGGUAACAUCAAAUCGUACCCCAAACCGACACAGGUGGUCAGGUAGAGAAUACCAAGGCGCUUGAGAGAACUCGGGUGAAGGAACUAGGCAAAAUGGUGCCGUAACUUCGGGAGAAGGCACGCUGAUAUGUAGGUGAAGCCCCUGCGGGUGGAGCUGAAAUCAGUCGAAGAUACCAGCUGGCUGCAACUGUUUAUUAAAAACACAGCACUGUGCAAACACGAAAGUGGACGUAUACGGUGUGACGCCUGCCCGGUGCCGGAAGGUUAAUUGAUGGGGUUAGCUGUAAGGCGAAGCUCUUGAUCGAAGCCCCGGUAAACGGCGGCCGUAACUAUAACGGUCCUAAGGUAGCGAAAUUCCUUGUCGGGUAAGUUCCGACCUGCACGAAUGGCGUAAUGAUGGCCAGGCUGUCUCCACCCGAGACUCAGUGAAAUUGAAAUCGCUGUGAAGAUGCAGUGUACCCGCGGCAAGACGGAAAGACCCCGUGAACCUUUACUAUAGCUUGACACUGAACACUGGUCCUUGAUGUGUAGGAUAGGUGGGAGGCUUUGAAGUGUGGACGCCAGUCUGCAUGGAGCCGUCCUUGAAAUACCACCCUUUAAUGGCUGGUGUUCUAACGUGGACCCGUUACCCGGGUUGCGGACAGUGUCUGGUGGGUAGUUUGACUGGGGCGGUCUCCUCCUAAAGAGUAACGGAGGAGCACGAAGGUCAGCUAAUCCUGGUCGGACAUCAGGAGGUUAGUGCAAUGGCAUAAGCUGGCUUGACUGCGAGAGUGACGGCUCGAGCAGGUGCGAAAGCAGGUCAUAGUGAUCCGGUGGUUCUGAAUGGAAGGGCCAUCGCUCAACGGAUAAAAGGUACUCCGGGGAUAACAGGCUGAUACCGCCCAAGAGUUCAUAUCGACGGCGGUGUUUGGCACCUCGAUGUCGGCUCAUCACAUCCUGGGGCUGAAGUAGGUCCCAAGGGUAUGGCUGUUCGCCAUUUAAAGUGGUACGCGAGCUGGGUUUAGAACGUCGUGAGACAGUUCGGUCCCUAUCUGCCGUGGGCGCUGGAGAAUUGAGGGGGGCUGCUCCUAGUACGAGAGGACCGGAGUGGACGCAUCACUGGUGUUCGGGUUGUCAUGCCAAUGGCACUGCCCGGUAGCUAAAUGCGGAAGAGAUAAGUGCUGAAAGCAUCUAAGCACGAAACUUGCCCCGAGAUGAGUUCUCCCUGACCCUUUAAGGGUCCUGAAGGAACGUUGAAGACGACGACGUUGAUAGGCCGGGUGUGUAAGCGCAGCGAUGCGUUGAGCUAACCGGUACUAAUGAACCGUGAGGCUUAACCUUACAACGCCGAAGCUGUU
rnacentral:rRNA from 1 species